rnacentral:rRNA from 1 species
UACGUAGGGUGCGAGCGUUAAUCGGAAUUACUGGGCGUAAAGCGUGCGCAGGCGGUUUUGUAAGCCAGAUGUGAAAUCCCCGGGCUUAACCUGGGAAUGGCAUUUGGGACUGCAAGGCUUGAGUGCGGCAGAGGAGACUGGAAUUCCUGGUGUAGCAGUGAAAUGCGUAGAUAUCAGGAGGAAUACCGGUGGCGAAGGCGGCAUCCUGGACCGGCAUUGACGCUGAGUGAGCGAAAGCUAGGGGAGCAAACGGG